rnacentral:lncRNA from 1 species
AUGUCAAUAUGCAAUUUUAACACCCAUGAACUUUUAAUACAGAACAAUGUGUACAAUAUCUCCAUGUGUUUUGAUUUGAUAGGUUAUGUCGAGAAAGAACAGGCCCCAACGAGAGUCCACAAUGACAACAGAAAAUAUAAAAGAUGGAGUGAAACACCUUUUCUAAGAAUCCCUGGUCACAAUGGCAACUUUUACCAUGCACAGGAAGAUCACACCAUGGACCAUAAAUUACCACAAUUCCAAAGCCAAUAUCCCAGUAUUUCUGAAAUACAAAAUGCUAAGAGCCAAUUCAGCCACUUAAAACCUGGCUCAGCCUCAGUUACUCAAGAACGAAGUACUGUGGUGUACAACCGCUUUGGAAACAAAGCAUUCCCUUUCCCUAAUGGCAAGAACAUUCAUCAAGCAAACUCUGAUACUGCAUUACCUGCAGGUGGAUUUCAGGUUCCACCCCGUAUCUCUCAACCCAGAUUUAAGUCGAGGGCCUCCCUCUAUUCUCAUAGCAGUAACGUGAGUCCAAGGAUACAAGCCUUUAAGUCUAGUCUUAAACCCGAGUCAAAAAAGAUUCAUAUAAACCCCUCCAGACACAUUUUCCCCAAAAGCUUGAAUCCUGGCAGGACAACCUUGUUGCAAAGUGUUUUCAGACCCAUCGAUACAGGACACUCUCCUGGCAGCAAUUCAGCAGGAAAGGUUGAAACAUGGAUGUCUUUUCCAUCAUGGAGUCCCAGGGUCUCUAGCAGUGAGGGGAUAUCUGAAGCAAGAGGAUAUACCCAUGUGCGCCACCUCAAGCCUAGUGUUCCCAAAACACUGUCCCAAACCAGUUCUAAUGCAGGUAGAAAUGUCUUGGAAAGAACCUCUGUGAAAAGGAAUCCUGGCAGCCGGCGUCCUCCACCAACAGAUGAAGCACAAAUCGCUGCUCAUGGAGGCAAAUUUAAAUCUUUCCAAACACAUCCUAGAUAUGAUCUCCCUGCUCCCACCCCGUCAUCAGACAAUGAAACUGCUCCCAUUCAGACAUUUGCAGAGAUGACCCUCCCCCCUAGUUUGAACUCCACAGGUAUUACUUCAACAGUUGUUCCUCCAGUUACUGGAGAGUGGAGCACCAAGUCUGCUUCACCCAUGCCGACAGAGGGCCGAGAUGCAGAGUGUACACCUCAGGCAACGGUGACGGCCAGUCUGAAAUUAAAGCAGAAGUUGGAUCUUCCUUGGAACAAUACGUUGACAGUCUCUCCUCUAGAGCAGCAACCAGCAGACGAAGAAAAGAGCCCAGUGUUUUCUCAUAGUCUUCUAGAUGGAAAAGUCUCAUUUAAAUUGAAUAUAAAAUUAAUAACUUUUUUGCUUUAUUUCUGUUUUUUGUCUUUUCUUUACAUAAUGACUUUGCUAUAG